rnacentral:rRNA from 1 species
UACGUAGGGUGCAAGCGUUGUCCGGAAUUAUUGGGCGUAAAGAGCUCGUAGGCGGUCUGUCGCGUCGGCUGUGAAAACUCGGGGCUCAACCCCGAGCCUGCAGUCGAUACGGGCAGACUAGAGUGUGGUAGGGGGAGACUGGAAUUCCUGGUGUAGCGGUGAAAUGCGCAGAUAUCAGGAGGAACACCGAUGGCGAAGGGCAGGUCUCUGGGCCACUACUGACGCUGAGAAGCGAAAGCAUGGGGAGCGAACAGG